UCCCCAGUGGGGCAAUUGGUUAGCGCGCGGUUCUUAUAAUGCCGAGGUUGUGAGUUCGAUCCUCACCUGGGGAA
rnacentral:tRNA from 1 species